rnacentral:rRNA from 1 species
UACGGGGGGAGCAAGCGUUGUUCGGAUUUACUGGGCGUAAAGGGCGCGUAGGCGGCCACCGCAAGUCGACUGUGAAAUCUCCGGGCUUAACUCGGAAAGGUCAGCCGAUACUGCGGGGCUAGAGUGCAGAAGGGGCAACUGGAAUUCUCGGUGUAGCGGUGAAAUGCGUAGAUAUCGAGAGGAACACCUGCGGCGAAGGCGGGUUGCUGGGCUGACACUGACGCUGAAGCGCGAAAGCGUGGGGAGCAAACGGG